CUCUUCCAUACUCUUUUAUUAUUUGUCCAGACAUCUUGUUUAAAUAAUUCCUGAAAUGUCAACACCGCCAAUGUUUUCUCCAAUGAAUUAGAAGUAAAAAAUAGUAUGAAAAUAUUGAUAACCAUGAUUUCAUAUAUGGUAACUUAUUUUUCCUAUAAACCUUCCCUUAUCAUAGCACUUACCUUGAUGAUUGGUUAGGUCACAUAUAGCCCCACUGAGCCUCAAUAUGCCAUGCCAUUAUUUCCUUUUUUCGUAUUCCUCCUAUAAUGCACAAAUACCUCACUACAUAUAGAGAAUUUAAUUGGAAUUUUCCCUACUUUUUGUAUGUCAUUUGCAUCUGGAACAGAAAAAUAUCAGAUACCCAAGAGACCUGGGAGGAAAGGGCCCAUACUAGGAUGGAGACAGGUAGGAGAGAGAAGAGUGAGAACAACUGAAAGCAACGAGUAACCCACUUUGACCCAGGUCAGGUGAAUGACAGCUGGCAGAUAGCUUGAGUACACAGUAUAAACAAAUGGAAUGGAUAGGGCUGAGGCACAAAAUGAAUGAAGGUUGCUAAAUAGUAUCUCUUCAAUAUGGACUGCUGAAAGGAUGCAUGAAGAAAUAACUGAAUCCAUGGCCAUUUACUAAAUCAAGUUGUUUAAUGUGCUUUGCACAUUAAACAAUAUAUUUUCAGUUAUAAAAGCAUAAGAAUAAAUCAUGUUUCAUUAGAUUGAAUGACUAUCUGGACUCUCUUACAAUUCUCAUUUUGAUUUUUGUUCUUAAAAAGCCUACGAGCUUUAAAGUGUAGUAUAUUUAUUAUCUUUAAUAGGAUUGUUCUCAAGCACAACUUCUGCAAGUUUAUAUACUGCUCAAAAUUGUUUUCCAAAUAUACUUAACUGGACAGUUGGCAAUAAUAGGAUUGGUGGAGUUAUUUUGCUCUAAUUCAGUAGUUCCAUCCUACUGAUAGCAUAUAGCUUAGUAAAAAAACAAAACAAAAAACAGUUUUCACUCUUGCAUUUUAUUUAUUUAUUUGUUUGUUUGUUUGUUUUUUGGUACCGGGGAUUGAACUCUGGACCUUCAGCUUGCAAGCCUUCAGUUCUUAUGUUGCCUGAAAUGCCCUGUAAGACUCAGUCUUUUAGGUCAAUCUGAAAAGAUUUUGGAAACCAAAAACGCCUUCCCUAGGCACAUAUGAAGAGUAUGGAGGGGCUAAGAAGGCCAGAAAGUUGGAAUCCCUGACAGCAUCAAGGAAGAUCCAGACUGACCUGGGAAUAGUAGUCACCUGAAAAGUAGCAGAACUGUAGACAACUCAGCAGAAACAUUAAGGACAGAGAUAAAAGAGAUCAACAUACCUGAGAAUGGUGACAAGUCAUUUCUAGAGAAAACCAACCCAGAAUGGAGACAAAGACAAACACACAGUUAUCAUUAUAUAAAAAAUAUCACUGGACUUGGAAUCAGCCUAACCAGGAAAACCAGGAAGAGUGAGAAAUAUGAGGGGUAUUGAACUUGAGCAUGAUUGUCUUAGUUGCUUUCUUAUUGCCUUGGUGCCAAAAUAUGUCUUAGAUAUUUUCUCAUUGCUGAGACACAAUACCCAACACAAUGUGGAAAGGUUUAUUUUGGCUUACAGUUUCUAGAGGUUUCACUUGGUAGUUGGAUGGCUUCAAGGGCAGCAUGGCAGAGGGGCAUGGCAGGCAGGAAGCACAGAGCCAUCAAAGGAGGAAUAGGUAUAUUGAUAUAGAUAUACAUACUUCCUUCCAGCCCGUGCCCCCAGUGACCCAUCCCUUCCCACCAGGCUUCACCUCCCAACAUGACACCCAGCUAUAAGCCCAUCAGUGGACUAAUCUGGUGUCGCACACCCAUGAUCCAGUCAGCUCCCAAAGGCCCCACCUAUGAGCAUACAAGGCUUUGGGUGGACAUCUAGAUAUAAGCCAUAAUAAUGACCAACCUAGCCCAUACCACUGAGAGAUUGCAAAAUGGUUUUGGAUGUAAGACUUCUGUGUUUAACCUACAGACUCAAUCUCAUCAUCAGAAUAGUCUCCAUCUGCUUCUCUUCACACUACUUGUUUCCUUUGUAGUUAGCUUGUGGACACCCUACACAUAAAUUCUCCAAGCGGCUCACAGUAUAACAAAUCUCAGGGCAGAGAUUUGCUCAUCUGGGCUGCAUGUCCUGCCCUGAACCUCUUACCGUGUCAAAAGCUAGGGUGAACUCUGAUUGGCCAAACACAGGCUAAAACCAUCCCACUGACAGGCAAGGUCAGAGGAGUCAAUAAACUACAUGGAAUUUCCCUAAAACUGAGGAGUUCAUCCCCCAAAGGGAUAAAAGUAUGCUGGAUGAAUACCAUGCAAGUUGUUAUAGCCUGGUUGCAGUGAGAACAUGAUAGCUGAGUAUAGUAAUGCACACCUGUGAUCCCAGCAUUGAGGGAGAAGGAUCAAAAAAUCAAGCUUAGUCCAAGCAACUUCUUAACGUAUUGAAAUCUAUCUCUUAAAAAGAGAAAAAGAAUUUAAAGCCUGGGGAUGUAGCUCAGUGUAAAGG
ensembl:lncRNA